CAUGUCAAGAGUAUUCUAGGGAUUUCUUAUGAAUAUACUGUAUGUAAUAUGGGAUGGCUAUUUUGAUUAAGAGAUCAAUUUUUAUGCAGGUUUAUCUACACUCUUCUCAGCCUGGGAAUCAUCAUGUGCUUGCUGACCUGCUCGGGCCACAUCGCCGCUGAAACUGCAAACAGCCCCUGCCUGUCUUGUCACGUGAUCUUUGUAUUCUUGCUUGUGAUACUGGAAGCUGCAAUCGCCGCCGAUGUAUUUCUGAAUAGCUACUGGGAGGAGGACAAAUCCCACCAAACUUGGCUCUAAUUGAAGUUAUCAUAAGACGUGGAGCUUUUGCUAUUUGCCCAGCUGGUUACUAUUAACUGGGAUAAAAGAAGGCUGGUAUGAUGGGGCUAGCUUUGGUUUUGCU